rnacentral:ncRNA from 1 species
UGAUAGCUAUGAAGCGUGAGGUUGCUGCCGAUGAGAGGCGGGUUUUCCGUGGAGCGAAUGUCAAGUUAGGAAACUGACGACAA